GGUAAUACGGAGGGUGCAAGCGUUAAUCGGAAUUACUGGGCGUAAAGCGCACGCAGGCGGUUUGUUAAGUCAGAUGUGAAAUCCCCGGGCUCAACCUGGGAACUGCAUCUGAUACUGGCAAGCUUGAGUCUCGUAGAGGGGGGUAGAAUUCCAGGUGUAGCGGUGAAAUGCGUAGAGAUCUGGAGGAAUACCGGUGGCGAAGGCGGCCCCUGGACGAAGACUGACGCUCAGGUGCGAAAGCGUGGGGAGCAAACAGGAUUAGAUACCCUGGUAGUCCACGCCGUAAACGAUGUCGACUUGGAGGUUGUGCCCUUGAGGCGUGGCUUCCGGAGCUAACGCGUUAAGUCGACCGCCUGGGGAGUACGGCCGCAAGGUUAAAACUCAAAUGAAUUGACGGGGGCCCGCACAAGCGGUGGAGCAUGUGGUUUAAUUCGAUGCAACGCGAAGAACCUUACCUGGUCUUGACAUCCACGGAACUUUCCAGAGAUGGAUUGGUGCCUUCGGGAACUGUGAGACAGGUGCUGCCAUGGCUGUCGUCAGCUCGUGUUGUGAAAUGUUGGGUUAAGUCCCGCAACGAGCGCAACGCCUUAUCCUUUGUUGCCAGCGGUCCGGCCGGGAACUCAAAGGAGACUGCCAGUGAUAAACUGGAGGAAGGUGGGGAUGACGUCAAGUCAUCAUGGCCCUUACGACCAGGGCUACACACGUGCUACAAUGGCGCCAUACAAAGAGAAGCGACCUCGCGAGAGCAAGCGGACCUCAUAAAGUGCGUCGUAGUCCGGAUUGGAGUCUGCAACUCGACUCCAUGAAGUCGGAAUCGCUAGUAAUCGUGGAUCAGAAUGCCACGGUGAAUACGUUCCCGGGCCUUGUACACACCGCCCGUCACACCAUGGGAGUGGGUUGCAAAAGAAGUAGGUAGCUUAACCCUUCGGGAGGGCGCUUACCAACUUUGUGAUUCAUGACUGGGGGUGAAGUCGUAACAAGGUAACCGUAGGGGAACCUGCGGUUGGAUCACCUCCUUACCUUAAAGAA
rnacentral:rRNA from 1 species